UAGCGUCAAGUAGACCGCAGCCCUUAUCAGAUAUUAAAAUUAUUAGGAUGAAAUAAUUAAAUCGUAAACUUAUGUGAACUAACAUUACAUAUAGUUGUAUUGUCGGAAUAUAAUUUACUACUAUUUUAUUGUAUCAACUUUUUUCUGAUCAACUUAUAGCACGACUUACAAUCCGUAAGAAAUACAUCUGUAUGUCUAUAUGUAUUACAGUACGACUUACAAUCUGUAAGAAAUACAUCUGUAUUACUAAUGUAUGUAUGUGUAUGGAAAUAUAUGAAGGUAGCACUACAGGAACGAACAUUUUUUUUUCUAUAACAUAAAAAAUCGCAACGGUAGACAUUUCAAACUUUUUCUUCGUAAAAAUAGUUUAUUAAUAUUUACCUGCGUGGAUAUAAUUGUAUGUACCUUGAAAAAUUGACGUUUUUCAACAUUGAAAACCAAUGGCUACGUUCAACAGAAAAAAGCAGUUUUGCAACUGUUGUAAAAUUCUUUAAUAUAAUUGGUCUUGUCCUUAGUUCCUCAUUGGAUCUAAAUGUAUAAACCAAUCAUAUUCAAGAAUUUUACAAAAAUUGCAAAGCUGCUUUUGCUGCUCGAACGUAGCCAUUGUCAAGGAAACUAGAAAAGCUGGAAUAGCUGGAUACAUGUACAGGAAAUUAUAGAUUUAUUAAAUAUCAACUUCUCUUGUGUAAUCUUUUAUAGGAUAAAAGUGUCGUUCUAUAAAUAUAUAUAUAUAUAUAAAAUAUGUUAAUGUGAUACAUUAUUAGUAAUUUACUUCAUAUUCGUAUUUGGGCAUACAAAACGUGAUCAACGUUGGAUCAACUGGACUGGAGUAAAUUUUCCACUCGGCGGACGAUGGUGUAAUUAGUUAUUACAAAAUGGCCUUGCAUAUAUGUAUAUGUAUACAUAUAUAUAUAAAUAUAUCAGCCAGUAAACCGACAUGAUAUGUGACGAAGCAUGUGGCUCCGGUGCUUUCACCUUUUUUGCUCGAUAUUCAUAUAAGAUAGAAUGAGAUACACCGGUAUUAUAUAUAG